rnacentral:rRNA from 1 species
GACGAACGCUGGCGGCGUGCCUAAUACAUGCAAGUAGGACGCAGGUGCGAACGGGUGAGUAACGCGUAGGUAACUAGCUAUAAGAGGGGGAUAACCAUUGGAAACGAUAGCGAAAACCGCAUACUAGUAGAUGGAUCUGCGUUGUAUUAGCUAGUAGGUAGGGUAAUGGCCUACCUAGGCAACGAUACAUAGCCGACCUGGGACGGUGAUCGGCCACACUGGGACUUGGACACGGCCCAGACUCCUACGGGAGGCAGCAGUAGGGAAUCUUCGGCAAUUGGGGGAACCCUGACCGAGCAACGCCGCGUGAGUGAAAGGGGUUUUCGGAUCGUUAAACUCUGUUGUUAAGGAAGCGGUACUUAACCAGAAAGGGACGGCUAACUACGUGCCAGCAGCCGCGGUAAUAC